GCCUGGGUGGCUCAGUCGGUUGAGCGUCCGACUUUGGCUCAGGUCACGAACUCGUGGUUUGUGAGUUCGAGCCUCACGUCGGGCU
rnacentral:tRNA from 1 species